rnacentral:rRNA from 1 species
UACGUAGGGUGCGAGCGUUAAUCGGAAUUACUGGGCGUAAAGCGUGCGCAGGCGGCUUUGCAAGACAGAUGUGAAAUCCCCGGGCUCAACCUGGGAACUGCAUUUGUGACUGCAAGGCUAGAGUACGGCAGAGGGGGAUGGAAUUCCGCGUGUAGCAGUGAAAUGCGUAGAUAUGCGGAGGAACACCAAUGGCGAAGGCAAUCCCCUGGGCCUGUACUGACGCUCCUGCACGAAAGCGUGGGGAGCAAACAGG